CCUACGGGUGGCAGCAGUCGAGAAUCAUUCACAAUGGGGGAAACCCUGAUGGUGCGACGCCGCGUGGGGGAAUGAAGGUCUUCGGAUUGUAAACCCCGGUAAUGUGGGAGCAAAUUAAAAAGAUAGUACCACAGGGGAAAGAUACGGCUAACUCUGUCCCAGCACGCGCGGUAAUACAGAGGUCUCAAGCGUUGUUCGGAAUCACUGGGCGGAAGGCGUGCGUAGGCGGUUUGGUAAGUCGAGUGUGAAAGGCUUGGGCUCAACCCGCGGACGGCACAUGAUACUGCGAGACUAGAGUAAUGGAGGGGGAACCGGAAUUCUCGGUGUAGCAGUGAAAUGCGUAGAUAUCGAGAGGAACACUCGUGGCGAAGGCGGGUUCCUGGACAUUAACUGACGCUGAGGCACGAAGGCCAGGGGAGUGAAAGGGAUUAGAUACCCCUGUAGUC
rnacentral:rRNA from 1 species